rnacentral:misc_RNA from 1 species
AUUCCACCCCUGUGUAACUGCAUAAGACAAAAUAAUUCUAAUAGUAGUAGGCUUUACCACAGGAGAAAAAGUCUCAAAGAAGUCAAUGCCUGGCCUUUGAUGUUAGCCCUUAGCAACUAAUCGAGCUUUGUACUUUUCAAUGGAUCCAUCUGGUCUAUGUUUAAUGCAGAAGACCCAUUUGCAACCAACAAUAUUCUGGGCAUCUUCUCGUGGUACCAAUUCCCACGUACCAGUUUGAAUUAGAGCAUUUAUUUCAGACUGCAUUGCAUCACGCCAUUGUUCAGAUUUCAUAGCCUGUGAAUAGCAUGUAGGAAUAGCUUGGGCAACUAUAGUAGUGGCAAAGAUCUUUGGUUUAAUAUUCCCUAUUUGAGAUUGUGUCACCAUUGGAUGAGUUUUAAGUGGAACAGAUGGUUGAUUAUGGGAG